rnacentral:rRNA from 1 species
AGCGAACGCUGGCGGCAGGCUUAACACAUGCAAGUCGAGCGGGCGUAGCAAUACGUCAGCGGCAGACGGGUGAGUAACGCGUGGGAACAUACCUUUUGGUUCGGAACAACACAGGGAAACUUGUGCUAAUACCGGAUAAGCCCUUACGGGGAAAGAUUUAUCGCCGAAAGAUUGGCCCGCGUCUGAUUAGCUAGUUGGUAGGGUAAUGGCCUACCAAGGCGACGAUCAGUAGCUGGUCUGAGAGGAUGAUCAGCCACAUUGGGACUGAGACACGGCCCAAACUCCUACGGGAGGCAGCAGUGGGGAAUAUUGGACAAUGGGCGCAAGCCUGAUCCAGCCAUGCCGCGUGAGUGAUGAAGGCCCUAGGGUUGUAAAGCUCUUUUGUGCGGGAAGAUAAUGACGGUACCGCAAGAAUAAGCCCCGGCUAACUUCGUGCCAGCAGCCGCGGUAAU